rnacentral:rRNA from 1 species
ACCGGCAGCUCAAGUGGUGGCCAUUUUUAUUGGGCCUAAAGCGUUCGUAGCCGGUUUGAUAAGUCUCUGGUGAAAUCCCGCAGCUUAACUGUGGUACUUGCUGGAGAUACUAUUAGACUUGAGGUCGGGAGAGGUUAGGGGUACUCCCAGGGUAGGGGUGAAAUCAUAUACUCCUGGGAGGACGACCUGUGGCGAAGGUGUCUUAAUGGACCGAACCUGACGGUGAGUAACGAAAGCGAGGGGCGCCAACCG